GAUGAGGAACGCAGCGAAAUGCGAUAAGUAAUGUGAAUUGCAGAAUUCAGUGAAUCAUCGAAUCUUUGAACGCAUCUUGCGCUCCUUGGUAUUCCUUGGAGCAUGCCUGUUUGAGUAUCAUGAGCAAAUCUCAAAGUCAAUUCCUUUUGUUGAUUCAAUUGGUUUUGCUUUGGACUUGGAGGCCUUGCAGAUUUCACAGUCUGCUCCUCUUAAAUGCAUUAGCUGGAUCUCAGUAAUUAUGCUUGGUUCCACUCGGCGUGAUAAGUAUCACUCGCUGAGGACACUGUUAAAAAGGUGGCCAGGAAAAUACUGAUUGAACCGCUUCUAACGGUCUAUUAAGUUAGACAAUUACCCUUAAGUUUGAUCUCAAAUCAGGUAGGACUACCCGCUGAACUUAAGCAUAUCAAUAAGCGGAGGA
rnacentral:misc_RNA from 1 species